rnacentral:rRNA from 1 species
UGGGGAAUAUUGCACAAUGGGCGAAAGCCUGAUGCAGCAACGCCGCGUGAGUGAUGAAGGCCUUCGGGUUGUAAAGCUCUGUCUUUUGGGACGAUAAUGACGGUACCAAAGGAGGAAGCCACGGCUAACUACGUGCCAGCAGCCGCGGUAAUACGUAGGUGGCAAGCGUUGUCCGGAUUUACUGGGCGUAAAGGAUGCGUAGGCGGAUUUUUAAGUGAGAUGUGAAAACCCUAAGCUUAACUUGGGGACUGCAUUUCAUACUGGAAAUCUAGAGUGCGGGAGAGGAGAAUGGAAUUCCUAGUGUAGCGGUGAAAUGCGUAGAGAUUAGGAAGAACACCAGUGGCGAAGGCGAUUCUCUGGACCGUAACUGACGCUGAGGCAUGAAAGCGUGGGUAGCAAACAGGAUUAGAUACCCUGGUAGUCCACGCCGUAAACGAUGAGUACUAGGUGUAGGAGGUAUCGACCCCUUCUGUGCCGCAGUUAACACAAUAAGUACUCCGCCUGGGAAGUACGAUCGCAAGAUUAAAACUCAAAUGAAUUGACGGGGGUCAUAGCUGUUUUU